UUACGGUCACAUCACGGUGAAAUACUGGUUCCCAUACGAUCACCGAAGUUAAACAACGUUGAACCUGGUCAGUACCUAGUUGGGUGACCGCUUGG